AUGUACUAAACUAGGUAAAACCAAGCUAGAUUCUUUCUUUCUUUUUUUUUUUCAUGGUAAUCCAGUUCUUCUUUGUGAUUUUAACACCAUCAUAAGUUUCUUACUGUUAGUAUCAUCUUUAGAUCUCAACAUCAGAAUUAGAGAACUUACACAAGAACAAUAUAUAUGAUGAUGCAGUGGAUACUGUAUGGAUUGAUUUAGUAGGCGGAGUUUCUAUACAAUAGUUGUGUUUAUUCAAUUUAAGCCACUUCGUUCAGAUUCUAGGAUUUUUGUUGAGAUCCGUACGGAAUGCGGUGAAGGAAUGGAAUUCGCGAGCUGGAAGCCUGACGCCGUCAUCUCUAUAUUCGUCUGAAACACAUCCACUGAACCGUGUCUUUUCUCUGCAGUGGCAAUGAGUCAGAAAAUAUGAGGCUUAACGAACGGGUCAUUUUGAUUAUCAAGUAAGCUCUGUUUUGUACUGGAAACAACACGUGCAACAACAAAUGACUGUGACUCUGUGUCUGUGGAAGGAUUUCACCAUUUUAAGGCUUCUAAAGUGUCAGUGAUUCACACUCAACUUACUUUCUCAAGAACAAUUAAUCUCGAGCAAAACGACAUUACCUGAGCUGUUAUAUAUCCUCUCGAGAGAUAUUAUGAAACCAGAGACUCACAAAUUUCAAAUAAAUGGUACCAUACUCUUUAAAACUGGAAACUUUAAGAGAAGUUUGCAGAAAAUAGAAAGCGUCCGUUUGGAGCCUGAGGUUGUUGUUUCCAUGUCGUAAACAGUCCUCUGUCUCUGUAGAGCAUGAUCAAUAUGCUAAAGUAAGAAACCAGGAAGGAUGAUAUAGAAGGGGGGAAUAUCCGAAGGACUCACUAAAAUGUGUUUGGAGAAAUAAAAAGAAAGGUAUUUAUCUUACUGGUAUUCAGACUGAUGAACUUCAGAAGCAGGGACAAGCCUAUGGAGCAUUCAGCAAUUGUAUACAUAUCAUACUUUCUGGGACAAAGAGGUAAGAAAGAUCACAAAAGAACUGGUUUUAGGUGUGAGAGAGUUUCGUGAGUAUGAAUGUUAAGCCAACAAUCUGGGCUGUAUCACAGCGAUAGUAGUACGGAUGCUCCAUUCCUAUGGUGAAAUGAAUUUUCAGAUUAAGUUGUUUAAGUAUUCUGAAGUUGUUGAAUCAGUUUGUACGCUUUGUUUUCAUUUGAAAUAAAUAAAUACAUUUUUUA